CCACAUAUUGUAAUGGUUGACGGAUCAGGAAGUGUGAAUGAGGAGAUGGAUGUUGGACGCGGGAAUGUGGAAGAGUGGAAAGUAGUUAAAAAGAAACGCAAAAAUAAAGACAGGGAUAAGUCAGAUGCUAGUGACAGUGAUAAAGGAACAACUACGGUGAAAAGGAGUGAAUAUGAGUUCAAGGUAUUUAUCAAACUGUUGCAAGAGGGGACUACUUUUGAUAAGUGGAGUCCAAUCCUACUAACCAAAGCUCUACAUAAAGAUAUUGGGGAGGUAAGGAGUGCUAAAAAAUUGAGGAAUGGUUAU